AAAAGGAAGAAACUGGAGAGGAGCACGCCGGUGAGGAAGCCUAACACUUCGACUUCAGAUCUGCUCACGUGAUCGGAGGCUCCGCCUCCCCACGAUUCGGUCGCGCCCGGUUCGGCUUCCUCUCGCUCCAAUGCUCGCUCUCACCAGCCUUCGGAUGGGAUCAGCAAGGUGGUAUUUGGAGGUCAAGUGACUGCAGAGAAAUCUGAGAAUUUGAACAAAAGGAAGUCUUGUUCUGCCUACAAGUUGAAAGAAAUCACCGAUAGUGGGAUUUUUGCUGCCAAUGGGGAAGAUGAUUUAUUGGAGCCUGGAAGUGCCAACCCUGCUUCAAAUAACAAAACAGGAUUAAAGAUGUACCAGGUAUGUUUUACUGUGCCGAUUGUAUUUGACCUUUUAAAUUGGUGCUGAGUCCAUGAUGAUGUAUGUAAGCUCUUUUGGUGGUAAACAGGUUUUCAGUGAGUUUUACACAGAAAUAGCAACUCUAGUUUAACACUUUGCUG